CACAGGCAUCCCUAGUACGGCGAGUGAGCGGGAGAGCUCAAUUUGAAAUCUGGUAGCCUUCGGUUGCCCGAGUUGUAAUCUAGAGAAGUGUUUUCCGUGCCGGCCCAUGUACAAGUCCCUUGGAACAGGGCGUCAUAGAGGGUGAGAAUCCCGUCCUUGACAUGGACCCCCGGUGCUUUGUGAUACACUUUCAACGAGUCGAGUUGUUUGGGAAUGCAGCUCAAAAUGGGUGGUGAAUUCCAUCUAAAGCUAAAUAUUGGCGAGAGACCGAUAGCGAACAAGUACCGUGAGGGAAAGAUGAAAAGCACUUUGGAAAGAGAGUUAAACAGUACGUGAAAUUGUUGAAAGGGAAACGAUUGAAGUCAGUCAUGCUCUUGGGACUUACCUCCCUUGAGUGGGGUCAACAUCAGUUUUGAUCGAUGGAUAAAGGCACGGGGAAGGUAGCACUCUCGGGUGAACUUAUAGCCUCGCGUCAUAUACAUUGAUUGGGACUGAGGAACGCAGCAUGCCUUAUGGCCGGGAUUCGUCCACGUACAUGCUUAGGAUGUUGACAUAAUGGCUUUAAACGACCCGUCUUGAAACACGGAACCA
rnacentral:rRNA from 1 species